UCCUCCGGGCCUCGCUCGGCUGGAAAUGUAGCGUUUAGGAGGGUCCGUUAACACGCCGCUUCGCUGUCUGCUCAAGUCCAACUUGAACGGGGCCACAAAGAGGGUGCUAUGCCCGUGGAGUAUCGGCUGGUGGCGUGUGGAUCUCUCCUUAGAGUCGGUUUGCUUGAGAGUGCAGACCUAAGUGGGUGGUAAACUCCAUCUAAGGCUAAAUAUGACCACGAGACCGAUAGCGCACAAGUACCGUGAGGGAAAGGUGAAAAGAACUUUGAAGAGAGAGUUCAAGAGUACGUGAAACUGGUAUGGUGUAAGCGGACGGAACUGAAGAUGAGGAACGGAGCGAUUCAUCUUCAUCCGGCCGGGAUGUCUGUUGGUCGAGAUGGUGCGGGCUGCUCGGGUGUUUCGGCACACCGGGUGGGUUCGUGUCACUCGGUCGGCGGGCACUCUUGGUUGGGUGGAGGGCAAUUCGCUCUUAGUAGUGAGUCGCAACUCGUUGGUUGCCGGCCUCAGGGUUCGUGGUGGAGACCGACAUUCGCUUGCGUUCGUCGGACCCGCGUUGUCCCGGCUGGCGACCGACGGUAUCAAUACCGAGUGCAGACUGCUCUUUUGAAGCGACCGCAACCUUAAGUGGUACAUAUAUUCGGUCAGGUCUCACUGGUUUGCGGCUGAAUGUUUUCGGUAACCGUCCGUCCCGUCUUGAAACACGGACCAAGGAGUCUAACAUGUGCGCGAGUCAUUGGGCUCACGAAACUCAAAGGCGAAAUGAAAGUGAAGGCCGUGCACUUGUGCUAGUGCCUUGGGGCGACGGUGGACCCUCACGGGAACACUUGCAGCCCUGGGACGUCACAUCCUCUUGAGGAGUGGCGUACCGAGAGCGUACACGUUGGUACCCGAAAGAUGGUGAACUAUGCAUGGCCAGGAUGAAGCCAGAGGAAACUCUGGUGGAGGUCCGUAGCGAUUCUGACGUGCAAAUCGAUCGUCAGAGCUGUGUAUAGCGUCGAAAGAAUAAUCGAGCCAUCUUCGUAGCUGGUUCCCUCCGAAGUUUCCCUCAGGAUAGCUGGCACUCGAAGGUGGAAACAAGUCUCAUCCGGUAAAGCGAAUGAUUAGAGGCCUUGGGAGCGAAACGCCCUCAACCUAUUCUCAAACUUUAAAUGGGUGAGAGCUCCUGUUUGCUUCGGUGAAGCAGGAGAUAUCUGGAUUAGAGUGCCAAGUGGGCCAUUUUUGGUAAGCAGAACUGGCGCUGUGGGAUGAACCAAACGCGGAGUUAAAGCGCCCAAAUCUACGCUCAUUGGACACCAUGAAAGGCGUUGGUUGCUUAAGACAGCAGGACGGUGGCCAUGGAAGUCGGAAUCCGCUAAGGAGUGUGUAACAACUCACCUGCCGAAGCAACUAGCCCUGAAAAUGGAUGGCGCUAAAGCGUAGUGCUUAUACUCUGCCGUCAGGGCAAAAAGGCGGGGAUUUUAUUCCCGUCACGAAGCUUUGACGAGUAGGAGGGUCGCGUCGGUGAGCGCAGAAGGGUUGGACGUGAGUCUGCCUGGAGCCGCCGAUGGUGCAGAUCUUGGUGGUAGUAGCAAAUACUCUGGAGAGGCCCUGGAGGUCUGAGGUGGAGAAGGGCUUCGUGUGAACAGCCGUUGCACACGAGAGAGUCGAUCCUAAGCCCUAGGCGAAAGCCCAGGUCGAUGGUGUUACUGCUUAAUUGCUCGAGAUGUACACUGUCGUUGCGAAAGGGAAUACGGUACUCAUUCCGUAACCCAGUCUCGGAACCGAUACGCCGGUCCUCGUUACUGGUCCAGGUAACAGGACAUGCCCCAGAGACGCCGUCGGCACCUGUCGGGAGAGUUAUCUUUUCUGUAUAAGCGCGCGUACCCCCUGGAAUCUCUUAAUGAGGAGAUAGGGGGCGGCGUCGCGGAGAGCAUCGCACUUGUGGCGAUGUCGACAGGAUGUUCUCGGACCUUGAAAAUCUGGGUGAGGGCCACGCGAUCUUCCGAACUGGUUCGUACCCAUAUCCGCAGCAGGUCU
rnacentral:rRNA from 1 species